rnacentral:rRNA from 1 species
GUCUACGGCCAUGCCACCCUGAACAGGCCUGAUCCCGUCUGAUCUCAGAAGCUAAGCAGGGUCAGACCUGGUUAGUAUUUGGAUGGGAGACCACCUAGGAAAACUAGGCGUAAAAAAUA